UACGUAGGUGGCAAGCGUUGUCCGGAAUUAUUGGGCGUAAAGCGCGCGCAGGUGGUUUCUUAAGUCUGAUGUGAAAGCCCACGGCUCAACCGUGGAGGGUCAUUGGAAACUGGGGAACUUGAGUGCAUAAGAGGAAAGUGGAAUUCCAAGUGUAGCGGUGAAAUGCGUAGAGAUUUGGAGGAACACCAGUGGCGAAGGCGACUUUCUGGUCUGUAACUGACACUGAGGCGCGAAAGCGUGGGGAGCGAACAGG
rnacentral:rRNA from 1 species